AAAAAAAAAAGAAGAAGAAGAAGCAGGAGAAGGUAUUCCUGGAAAAUCAGACACCUACUCUCCAAACAGAUAUGGAUACAGAAAGACAGUCACUCAAGGAUAGACGUAGUUUCAAGGAGCAGAAGCUCUGGCAGCAGAGAAGAGAGCUGGCUUUGGACUCCAAAGAGAGAUAGUCCUGGUAACCAAGACUUAAGCUUUGAGGAGGAGCAGACGCUGCGGGUCCAGGAAUCCAUGAGGCAGCAGUAGUCUCACCUGCUGAAAAAUGGAGACUGGGGAGCUGGAAGAACCUCUCAGCCUCUCUGUGAAUAGAUGCAGAAAGAAGGCUGCUCUUUUGGUGACUGGAGGGGUGCUUUUCUUCUGCCUCCUCUCUCCUCUUUCUCUUUUUCUCCUCCCCUUCC